rnacentral:rRNA from 1 species
AUGAACGCUAGCGGCAGGCAUAAUACAUGCAAGUUGAACGGGAUAAGCGGUAGUAAUAUUGCUUUGAGAGUGGCGCACGGGUGCGUAACACGUAUGCAAUCUGCCCCUAACAGGGGGAUAGCCCGGCGAAAGUCGGAUUAAUACCCCAUAACACGUCGAGUAGGCAUCUACUUGAUUUUAAAGCUCCGGCGGUUAGGGAUGAGCAUGCGCGACAUUAGCUAGAUGGCGGGGUAACGGCCCACCAUGGCUACGAUGUCUAGGGGGUCUGAGAGGAUUUUCCCCCACACUGGUACUGAGACACGGACCAGACUCCUACGGGAGGCAGCAGUAGGGAAUAUUGGGCAAUGGGCGCAAGCCUGACCCAGCCAUGCCGCGUGAAGGAUGACUGCCCUAUGGGUUGUAAACUUCUUUUGUACGGGAAGAAACCCCUCUACGUGUAGAGGGCUGACGGUACCGUAAGAAUAAGGAUCGGCUAACUCCGU